rnacentral:rRNA from 1 species
UGGGGAAUUUGGACAAUGGCGAAAGCCUGAUCCAGCAAUGCCGCGUGUGUGAAGAAGGCCUUCGGGUUGUAAAGCACUUUUGUCCGGAAAGAAAUCCUUGGCUCUAAUACAGUCGGGGGAUGACGGUACCGGAAGAAUAAGCACCGGCUAACUACGUGCCAGCAGCCGCGGUAAUACGUAGGGUGCAAGCGUUAAUCGGAAUUACUGGGCGUAAAGCGUGCGCAGGCGGUUUGCUAAGACCGAUGUGAAAUCCCCGGGCUCAACCUGGGAACUGCAUUGGUGACUGGCAGGCUAGAGUAUGGCAGAGGGGGGUAGAAUUCCACGUGUAGCAGUGAAAUGCGUAGAGAUGUGGAGGAAUACCGAUGGCGAAGGCAGCCCCCUGGGCCAAUACUGACGCUCAUGCACGAAAGCGUGGGGAGCAAAACAGGAUUAGAUACCCUGGUAGUCCACGCCCUAAACGAUGUCNGCUAGUUGUUGGGGAUUCAUUUCCUUAGUAACGUAGCUAACGCGUGAAGUUGACCGCCUGGGGAGUACGGUCGCAAGAUUAAAACUCAAAGGAAUUGACGGGGUCAUAGCUG